rnacentral:rRNA from 1 species
AUUGAACGCUGGCGGCAGGCAUAACACAUGCAAGUCGAGCGAGCGGCGGAAGGGUGAGUAAUGUCUGGGACACUGCCUGAUGGAGGGGGCUAACUACUGGAAACGGUAGCUAAUACCGCAUACCAUCAGAUGUGCCCAGAUGGGAUUAGCUAGUAGGUGGGGUUAUGGAUCACCUAGGUGACGAUCCCUAGCUGGUCUGAGAGGAUGACCAGUGACAAUGGACCUGAGACAUGGUCCAGCCUCCGACGGGAGGCAGCAGUGGGGAAUAUGGCAAAAUGGGCGCAAGCCGGAUGCAGCCAUGCCGCGUGUAUGAUGAAGGCUUUCGGGUUGUAAAGUACUUACAGCGGGGAGGCGUUACCCGCAGAAGAAGCACCGGCUAACUCCGUGCUAGCAGCCGCGGUAAUUC